CUUGUAACUGCAUGGCAUGAAUAUUAGCAGAAAGCCGUUUUCAUUUUUAUAUUAUUUGCCCUUGGUUCUCUUAGGGCCAAGGCUUUGUGACGGUUGAUGAAGUACAGAGACGACUCUCUUGGUCUUCUGGUCAUGCUACUGAUGCUCUUGAAACUUUAUUACAAGUGCGUCACCUUGUGCUGUUUGCACUACGAUCUCCCCAUUGUCUACCUAAAACCAAAUAAAGAGAGAAUGCAAAACUUCACCGGCCGGCUGGAGUCUCCACUCACCACAUCCCUUCCACCCUUUGCACCACCAUAAACUCGCCAUGCUGAACUAAUAAAUUCGACGUUUCCGGCCUGCUUUCGAUCGGGCUGAAUUGGAGGAAUUUUACCUAAGACCAACAAAUUUUAAUGUUUAAGCUUAUUUCCUCAUGACAUUCCUACCUUAAUAGAGAAUAGAGAGUACUAAAAAAUAUUUACUCCUGAGAUUUAUAGAUGCUUUUUAAAAACAGUGUUUUUUUGGAAAUGAUCUUAAAAGAAGCGAGGUCUUUAACAAGUCACUCUUCACUGUCAAAAUUGUGUUUACAGAUCUAUGACACGUGCCCG
rnacentral:lncRNA from 1 species